CAACAGAUGAAAUCUCUCAUUCUGAUGCUUCUCCUGAGAGAAGCUCGAGAGAUGCUCAAGGCUAUGAAGAAAAGCUACUAGGCGGCGGCGGCUCUUAUUCUCGUCCAGGAGGAGAUCAUGUGCCUGAACUUUUGAGUCAGUUAAUAUAUGCAUUAGGUUGAGCAGCUGUCAUCAGACAAACUGUAAAAUUUUGAUUCUGUUGAGCAUUUAUGUUGGCAUCCUGAACAGAAUAAAACAAAGUUGUCAACCUA